UGCCCUCCUUCCUGAGGCUGGGAAAGGCCCUGCACACUCAUUCACGUGCUUAGAUGGUUCUGAGAAAAUCGACUUGUUAAAUGUUCUAGCCAUAGUCCACUAAGAUGCCCACCAGCUGGUGGCUCGAGCUUUGACUUCCUCUCUUCUUCCCAGAUCUGGCAUCUGUGGGUGUAGACCGACAAAGUGCAUUUGGGAGAUGUGGCUGAAAGACGAACAAGGCGAGGACAGUACCCGGGAUUUCCUGUGUGCUUGGCAGCACUGUCUUUCUAUCUCAGAUUCUGCUAGUCACUGAGGCACAGAGACCGCUCGAGGGGACUUCGGUUCACAGUCUCGGACAAGGGGAUGGACUACAGACUGGUGGGGAGCAGAGGUUUCAUUCUAACAUUAUCUUUUAAAAAACAUACUCUGAAAGCACCAGACUUUCUAACACGUAUAUCAGGCAUGUAUUGCAGAAUGUCACACGAAGUCUCAGUUUUCCAUCCAGGCUCCCAUAUCCAACUGAGCAUUUUCAAUCAUGUCAAGGCCAAGUGCACUUGAGUGUGUGAAGGUGCUCAGGAUGCGGCAGGCCAGCUGCCCCUCCCUGCCCCGGUGAUGAUGCAGGAGCAGGAGGGAGGCAGCUUUGUGAGCCAGCCAUGAUGGUAUGCAAGGAGCUCCACUGCACUCUUCAGCUGUUGUCCUUCCUCGGCUCCACCCCGCCUGUGAAAGCCAGGCCUACCAAGGUGAAAGACAGAAGAUGUGUCCACGCUCCCUGGCUUGGUGAUCCUGGGCCAGUAACUUAAGUCCUCAGUUUCCUUACAUCGGAACAUCAUCAAGAAGAUUAAAUGGACUAAUUUACAUCACAGGGCAGACUGCAGUGUAGAAAUACAGUACAGUCCCUCAUGGAACCCAGGAUUCAGUCAUUGGUUAGACUGACUGUCCAUGAGCCCACAGGCUCCUCCCACCUCCUUCUCCCCUGCAUGGGGAUUACAGGUACACACCACCACACCCAGCUUUUUAUGUGAGCAUCGGGGUUUUGAACUCUGGUCCUCAUGGCAGCACAGCAAGGGCUUCUACGGCUGUGCCAUCUGCCCAGCACAAGGCUGAGAACGGUCAUGUGCACAAGUUCCACAUCAGCACCACCCUGCCACACCCUCUCGACAAGAAGCAAGCAUGGCAAUGAACACAGUACUGUCGUCACUCACUGAGCAUUUGUCCUGCCUCAGGCACAUCUCCAUGCUUUCUGUACAUUCUGCUGCCCACUGAGGGGCCAGAGAUGUCAUGAAUCCACUCGCUUGCCACACCCGUGAAGUCUGCGUGGCAAGCCCAAAAGCUUGGAUGCAGUCCGGAGGCAAAAAGAUUCACAGAAACUUUUCUCCUGGAGCCUUGGUAUCCUGUAGCACAAAUGCUCCAGAUUUGUCCUUGUGAUUGAAAGACCCACAACGUGAGGACUCCCCCACGUUCUGACUCAGGAGAGGUGACACCCCAAAAUCACCCACAAGAAACGGUCUUGCUGCAAAUUGCAAGAGGAUUUUUAUUCAAGAGUGCUCUCGGGCCCACGGUCAUACACCACGCAGGGGUAGAGGACCGUGGCGCCCCGAGUAGCUGAGUAAGGGGGUAUUUAAAGGAAAAAAACCACAACUCAAGGAGGUGGGAAGGGCGUUGUUGGAAAAUACCAAAAAUACCAGAUAAGAGUCACAAGGAAGUGCAAAGUCACAGGUGUCACAAGGAAUACCUGGUAAUUGUUAACUCUCAAGACAGUUUCUAAGAGCCCCUAACAAUAGCACAUUUGCAUUGCAGCUUCCGGUAAUGGUCAGGGUGACUUUCUUUGAAUGAAUACUCCUUGAACUCAGGAAGUGGGUGGGUGGAGGAAUGUUACUAUCUGUUUUAUGAUUAGCAUACCUUGGAGCACUGAGUUUACUACUCUUUCAGUGAUAGUUGGUGUUAUAGGAAAUGCUACUUAUUCAGAUGUAAUGCCUCCACUGUUGAUAGACAGUGAAAGAAAUCAGACAUUGCAGUUUACUGGGUAAGAGCUAGAAAUCUCAGGGCAAUUCUACAAAGAAAACUUAGAAUUAGAGCCGAGUCAUUCUCAUAUGCAGGAAUUUACAAGAAGAAGGAGGAUUGUGGUUUAAGGAGGAACUACAGUAUUGCAUUAUUCAUGAGAAGGUUGGCAAGAGCAGAACCCCCUGGUGCAAGCUUUCACAAGGCUCAGAGGAAUCGUAUAAAUUGUGACUAGGGUAUUGAAACCCUCAACUGACUCCCUAAUGGCUGACUUUAGAAAGGGCCACCUUUUCUCUCAGUUGUAACCAUUGCCUAGUUCCUGCUAGUCUUUAUGUAUGCAUUUCUGUUUUGUGUCAGAUAACUUCAAUGUACCUUGGCUGAUGUGUCACCUAACUUCUUUGUUUUCUUCUAUAAUGUAAGUCUGAUGCUCGCUUUGAGAAUUACAUUCAGAUGCAGCACUCUCUCUGUGUUUGCGUCUGUUUGUCAUUUUCCCACCAACUCUUUGCCCACCUGAGUACCAGGACCCUGAAUUCCCCCACGGGUUGAGAGACCCACUGAGUCCAGUCCGAGACACUCUACUUCUGGGGAAGUAGAGGGCUGUGCCUGAAGUCACCAACCUACUAAAGUGUCCUGCUCCUGACUUCAAUCAACACACACACACACACACACACACACAGAGAGAGAGAGAGAGAGAGAGAGAGAGAGAGAGAGAGAGAACACAGGGUCAAGAGAGGCUGGCAGGAAAGGGGCAGAUGCUUUGGCUCAGAAAGUCAUUAGCAGGCCUGUCAUCGUUGAGCACCAAAAUGACAGUUUUCAGAUGAGGAGUGGAGUGGAGUUGGAGUUGAGCAUCUCUCUUGCCAAGAUUAUAUUUUCUUUUAUAUUGGUUGAACCUGUCCCGUUCCCUUGCUGGACUUUACACAUGGUAAAAUGAAUUUGUGUUUUCUUUAAUAGUUUUGAAACAGAACAGAAAGCCUUCUUUUAAAAUGAGGAAACAAGGGCUGGUGAGAUGGCUCAGUGGGUAAGAGCACCCGACUGCUCUUCCGAAGGUCCAGAGUUCAAAUCCCAGCAACCACAUGGUGGCUCACAACCAUCCGUAACAAGAUCUGACUCCCUCUUCUGGAGUGUUUGAAGACAGCUACAGUGUACUUACAUAUAAUAAAUAAAUAAAAAAAAAAUGAGGAAACAAGAUGGAGCUAAAUUGCUCCACACAGGAGCAAUUGCAGGUCAUAGUAUAAGAGAUUCAAAGACAUGGAUUUGAAUUCCAGAUCCUCCACUCUGGAACAACUGAUCUGCUUCAGUCUCUUCAUUUGUAGCAUCCCAGAGAGACUGUGGGGAUCACACAGACCUGCCAUGUGCUGUGAGCGUGUAGCAUGCUAGGUGUUUGCUGAUCUCAGCUAAUAACACACUAUCCCAAGUGGCAGGGCUCAUCGUCAGCAUUCUGUCCACAGUUGUCCCUCCCUGUGCUGUGCUUCUAAAGGGGACAGAAAUCACACAUGUGUGCGCCAUUGGAAGGAAACUCCUCUAGAAAAUUUGGUCACAUCCCCUCCACGUGGCAAAACACUUCUCUGACUACCAUAGUCACAAUCAGGAUCUUCUUCAUUAGGAAGAGCACAGGUAAUAGUUUAACCUCCAUAGAAUGAGUUAAAAUACGGGAUCAGAUAAAAUAUUGUUCAAAGGAAAGAAAAAUGGAGACUCCUGGUCAGCGAGAAACACUGUCUAAUGUAGUAAGGGAACAACUGAUGAAAACAUAGGUAGUUGACCCCUGAUCUCAACAUGCAUACACUCUCUCUAACACAUACAACAUACACAAACACACUUGCAUACACAUAUGAACAUAUACAUACAAGCCAAAACAAAAUACCAAGUAACUAAUUUUAGCAAUUAUAAAGAAUGAGACCAAAAAAAAAAAAUGUAUAAAAAGACCAGUAUGGCCAGACAAGACAAUUCCAUGGCUCUCCCAACCCUAUUAAGUAUAAAAUUUCAAAAAGACAACAAAAUUAUGCAACCUUAAAAGUAACAGUUAAAUGCUAAGAGACAGACAUUUUAAAUGCCACACUAGUUGGCCCGAAAGCAACCAAAUUGCAAAUUUUAAAGUAGAUCAGAAGUGGUUUAAACACAGUACUUGAGUAUAGAAGAAUCUUCAGAACAAAUAAGAGAAUAAAAAUUCUGAGUCAAGAAAGAAUAGAUGGAGCCCGUCUGCAUGAGCAGAUGACGUGAGUGUGAACUCCUGGGUGAAGGGAGUGCUUGGGGGUUCACCCUAUUAUUCUGGCAAACUUUCUGAAGGUCUAAGGGUUUCCUUUCAUAUAAAGUUAAAAAGUAGAAAAUAGAUGUCACUAGAAGUAAUAAAACUCAGAGAACCAAUAAAGGAAAUCAAACCAUUUAAAACAAAAUGGAUGGCCUAAGGAUUAGUUAAACUGAUAGGCUCCUAAAUUGGGCUGGCCACGGGUUUAAUCAACACGAAGGAGCAGAGAACAGAGAACAUUCUCUGCAGGUGAGGGAGCCCUGUGUGCAGGCUGCCCAGCUCCAUCACCCCUCCAGUCCUUUUCACACCCCAAACACCUCCAGGGAUAGGAUAUCUUCACGAUAGGCUGAGGCAGUAGGAUUGUAGUUCAAAGCCCAUCUUUACCUGGGAAUGGCUCAAGAAGUGGUAACAUUAAACAAUAGAGCUGCGUGUUUUAGUGAUAAUCAGGAGGACGAGUUUGUACGUCAUAAAUGCUUUCUUUGAUUUUGUCCUAAGGGUAUCAGGACUCAGAACUCAUUACCCUAAAAUAUGAUCCCUUGGAAACUGAGAAAAAACAAUCAAAACAAAAGGCCACUCUCUCCCCUUCUCCAGCUUCUUUUUCUUCUUUUUCUAUUUUCUCGUUCCCUUUCUUUCCUUCUGUACCCUAGGGCUUUUUCACCCG